UUGUCGGUGACAUGAAUCUCGGCUCCAUUCUACAUGGAGUAUUUCUGAGCUAAUUCUCACAGCCCCUACAUUUCAAGAGAGGAACAUACACACCAGAAGGACAUUACAGGAAAAUUGGAUUGCUCGACUGCGAGUGAGAUAUGGAAAGGCCUUUUCCCCACCAAGCAGCAGACAAAAUUGUAACAGCCAGAACACUACAAGGACCCCGCCCACCUUGCCAAUCUCCAAGCUUUCAAAGGUCUCUGUCCAGCGGUGGAUCAAACACCUAGUAAUGCAUCCUGGGAGCAGAGAGGCUCCAGUCUCUUUCACAUUCAGUUAAAAUAAGGAGGGAUGGCACCUGUGAAGAUGCACACACCCAAUGAUGUGCAUAUGCACCACAAGAUGACAUGUGCACACCGGUGUGCACAGACCAGGUAUGGAGUUUGAAUUGCGUGUUGAAGAAACAACUUCCCUAAGGUCAUCUCUUCCCCCGUGCCUACCUUGGGUGCAAAAAUCACCAGAAUUCGUGUGUUUAGUCUUUCUGACCAUGGUAGGUCUUUUAGUUAUGAAAGCUGAGUCAGUUUAAGAACUAUUCCAACCUGAAUCCCCAUGCACAGUCCUGUUCUAAUUUUCUUGGCUGGGAAUCUUUCCCACUAAGGGUCCUUCCUGAGUCUUUACAAAAGCAUCAGUCUACCCAAGGGAUAUUGUUUGAUCAAGUCUCCAAGGUCUAAAGCCCAGUGCCUCCCACUACAUGUUCUUUUUACUUUGGCUGCUACACACUCUUAUCCUUUGUUGCUUUCAUCAGGAUCUAAGCUCAUUGGAAGGUCCUGAAGGAAAUCUGAGAAAUUCAAAAGAAAAUGGCAGAGGAAUACAAAAUGGAACAAUGAAAUACUAUUUGUAACCUGUAAAACUGGCAAAGCACACAAAAAUGAACUCUAUUGGUGUUCCUCAUAAUUGUUGGUGAAAAUACAAAUUGGUACCCUGUUUCUGGAAGGGCAUUUGCAGACACAUACUGACUAUCUUAAAAUAUCUGUUGAUCUUCAAUUUCUCCCCUAGGAUUUUUCCUAAGAAAAUACAAACGUAUAUAAAGAUUAUUAUCCUGGUGAUGUUCACCAUUGUAAAAAAAAAAAUGGAAAUAGCUUUAAUAUCCAUCCUUAUGGAGUUAACUGAAUAUAUUAUGCUACAUUUAUGAGACAUAUGAUAAAGAAUACUAUGCAGGUAUUAAAAAUAAUCCAGUAUGUUAAAUGACAAAAAUAAUAGAUUUUUAACCAAUAUGUAUAAUAUUAUAAUACUUUGAAGCAUAGCAUAUAUAAGGUUAGGAAAAAAGUCAUCAGUUCAUA
rnacentral:lncRNA from 1 species